CUCAUUUUUAACCAACAAAAAGAAAAACGUAAUUAACCUUUUGUUUCAGCCGCACACCCUGAAUGUCCUAUCUCCUCUCCCGAGACCCGGCUUCUUCUCCAGUCACACGCAACACCACAGACCUCCCCUUUCACCUCCCGUUCCUUCUCUGUAAAUUCCAGUGACUAGGACGGAGCUCCGGCGAGCCGCAAGCACACCGGUAAUCCCUCACACCCACACUCUAUUCUCACUCUCUCUCUCUGACGACCUGUGGAGCCGGCAACUGCCGGUAAUCCGGCGACAGUGGUGAACCGGAGAACGGCGGAUGACGGCAGUGGCUACUGUUCUUUCUCCGGCCGUUUUGUGAUGAAGGUGAUGAUGACGAUCGAUAGCGGCUGCGGAACGUAGAGGUGUUGUUCCGGUUCGGUCAGUAGGACGUGGUUGACCAAAACGUUAAAACAAGUAAACUAUCUGCCGAGCAAAGCAAAGGUCGUUAGAUUGCUUGACAUGGACUUGCUAUCUGGGAGUGCUGGAGUGGUCAUGGAUCGAGGCUCUUGGACAAACAUAUAUUUGAUACAUUGGUUUUGAACACUCAUUAUGAAACAGUUGUUUAACGAUUUACUAAAUGCUUCCGCUACACAACUCUUUUGGUUUAAUCUUAUGAUUGACAUUUACUAUUGGCAAUUAAUGAUAUGUUUUGUUUAAAUA